UAUGGUCAAGUGAAGAAGCGCAUACGGUGGAUGCCUUGGCAGUCAGAGGCGAUGAAAGACGUGGUAGCCUGCGAAAAGCUUCGGGGAGUCGGCAAACAGACUUUGAUCCGGAGAUGUCUGAAUGGGGGAACCCAGCCAUCAUAAGAUGGUUACCUUACACUGAAUACAUAGGUGUAAGGGGCGAACCAGGGGAACUGAAACAUCUAAGUACCCUGAGGAAAAGAAAUCAACCGAGAUUCCCUUAGUAGUGGCGAGCGAACGGGGACUAGCCCUUAAGUGGCUUUGAGAUUAGCGGAACGCUCUGGAAAGUGCGGCCAUAGUGGGUGAUAGCCCUGUACGCGAAAAUCUCUUAGUCAUGAAAUCGAGUAGGACGGAGCACGAGAAACUUUGUCUGAAUAUGGGGGGACCAUCCUCCAAGGCUAAAUACUACUGACUGACCGAUAGUGAACUAGUACCGUGAGGGAAAGGCGAAAAGAACCCCGGAGAGGGGAGUGAAAUAGAUCCUGAAACCGUAUGCGUACAAGCAGUGGGAGCCCACUUUGUUGGGUGACUGCGUACCUUUUGUAUAAUGGGUCAGCGACUUAUUUUCAGUGGCGAGCUUAACCGAAUAGGGGAGGCGUAGCGAAAGCGAGUCUUAAUAGGGCGUCUAGUCGCUGGGAAUAGACCCGAAACCGGGCGAUCUAUCCAUGGGCAGGUUGAAGGUUGGGUAACACUAACUGGAGGACCGAACCGACUACCGUUGAAAAGUUAGCGGAUGACCUGUGGAUCGGAGUGAAAGGCUAAUCAAGCUCGGAGAUAGCUGGUUCUCCUCGAAAGCUAUUUAGGUAGCGCCUCAUGUAUCACUGUAGGGGGUAGAGCACUGUUUCGGCUAGGGGGUCAUCCCGACUUACCAAACCGAUGCAAACUCCGAAUACCUACAAGUGCCGAGCAUGGGAGACACACGGCGGGUGCUAACGUCCGUCGUGAAAAGGGAAACAACCCAGACCGUCAGCUAAGGUCCCAAAGUUAUGGUUAAGUGGGAAACGAUGUGGGAAGGCUUAGACAGCUAGGAGGUUGGCUUAGAAGCAGCCACCCUUUAAAGAAAGCGUAAUAGCUCACUAGUCGAGUCGGCCUGCGCGGAAGAUGUAACGGGGCUCAAACCAUACACCGAAGCUACGGGUAUCACGUAAGUGAUGCGGUAGAGGAGCGUUCUGUAAGCCUGUGAAGGUGAGUUGAGAAGCUUGCUGGAGGUAUCAGAAGUGCGAAUGCUGACAUGAGUAACGACAAUGGGUGUGAAAAACACCCACGCCGAAAGACCAAGGUUUCCUGCGCAACGUUAAUCGACGCAGGGUUAGUCGGUCCCUAAGGCGAGGCUGAAAAGCGUAGUCGAUGGAAAACAGGUUAAUAUUCCUGUACUUCUGGUUAUUGCGAUGGAGGGACGGAGAAGGCUAGGCCAGCUUGGCGUUGGUUGUCCAAGUUUAAGGUGGUAGGCUGGAAUCUUAGGUAAAUCCGGGAUUCUAAGGCCGAGAGCUGAUGACGAGUUAACUUUUAGUUAACGAAGUGGUUGAUGCCAUGCUUCCAAGAAAAGCUUCUAAGCUUCAGGUAACCAGGAACCGUACCCCAAACCGACACAGGUGGUUGGGUAGAGAAUACCAAGGCGCUUGAGAGAACUCGGGUGAAGGAACUAGGCAAAAAUGGCACCGUAACUUCGGGAGAAGGUGCGCCGGUGAGGGUGAAGGACUUGCUCCGUAAGCUCAUGCCGGUCGAAGAUACCAGGCCGCUGCGACUGUUUAUUAAAAACACAGCACUCUGCAAACACGAAAGUGGACGUAUAGGGUGUGACGCCUGCCCGGUGCCGGAAGGUUAAUUGAUGGGGUUAGCUAACGCGAAGCUCUUGAUCGAAGCCCCGGUAAACGGCGGCCGUAACUAUAACGGUCCUAAGGUAGCGAAAUUCCUUGUCGGGUAAGUUCCGACCUGCACGAAUGGCGUAACGAUGGCGGCGCUGUCUCCACCCGAGACUCAGUGAAAUUGAAAUCGCUGUGAAGAUGCAGUGUAUCCGCGGCUAGACGGAAAGACCCCGUGAACCUUUACUAUAGCUUUGCACUGGACUUUGAAUUUGCUUGUGUAGGAUAGGUGGGAGGCUUUGA
rnacentral:rRNA from 1 species